rnacentral:rRNA from 1 species
AUUGAACGCUGGCGGCAGGCCUAACACAUGCAAGUCGAACGGUAACAGGAAGCAGCUUGCUGCUUUGCUGACGAGUGUCGGACGGGUGAGUAAUGUCUGGGAAACUGCCCGAUGGAGGGGGAUAACUACUGGAAACGGUAGCUAAUACCGCAUAACGUCGCAAGACCAAAGAGGGGGACCUUAGGGCCUCUUGCCAUCGGAUGUGCCCAGAUGGGAUUAGCUAGUAGGUGGGGUAACGGCUCACCUAGGCGACGAUCCCUAGCUGGUCUGAGAGGAUGACCAGCCACACUGGAACUGAGACACGGUCCAGACUCCUACGGGAGGCAGCAGUGGGGAAUAUUGCACAAUGGGCGCAAGCCUGAUGCAGCCAUGCCGCGUGUAUGAAGAAGGCCUUCGGGUUGUAAAGUACUUUCAGCGGGGAGGAAGGGAGUAAAGUUAAUACCUUUGCUCAUUGACGUUACCCGCAGAAGAAGCACCGGCUAACUCCGUG